GACGAACGCUGGCGGCGUGCUUAACACAUGCAAGUCGAACGGAAAGGCCCUGCUUUUGUGGGGUGCUCGAGUGGCGAACGGGUGAGUAACACGUGAGUAACCUGCCCUUGACUUUGGGAUAACUUCAGGAAACUGGGGCUAAUACCGGAUAGGAGCUCCUGCUGCAUGGUGGGGGUUGGAAAGUUUCGGCGGUUGGGGAUGGACUCGCGGCUUAUCAGCUUGUUGGUGGGGUAGUGGCUUACCAAGGCUUUGACGGGUAGCCGGCCUGAGAGGGUGACCGGCCACAUUGGGACUGCGAUACGGCCCAGACUCCUACGGGAGGCAGAAGUGGGGAAUAUUGCACAAUGGGCGGAAGCCUGAUGCAGCAACGCCGCGUGCGGGAUGACGGCCUUCGGGUUGUAAACCGCUUUCGCCUGUGACGAAGCGUGAGUGACGGUAAUGGGUAAAGAAGCACCGGCUAACUACGUG
rnacentral:rRNA from 1 species